ACUCCUACGGGAGGCAGCAGUGGGGAAUUUUGGACAAUGGGGGCAACCCUGAUCCAGCCAUGCCGCGUGAGUGAAGAAGGCCUUCGGGUUGUAAAGCUCUUUCGGACGGAACGAAAUGGUUACGGUGAAUAACCGUGACUGAUGACGGUACUGUAAGAAGAAGCACCGGCUAGCUACGUGCCAGCAGCCGCGGUAAUACGUAGGGUGCGAGCGUUAAUCGGAAUUACUGGGCGUAAAGCGUGCGCAGGCGGUUCGCCAAGUCAGGUGUGAAAUCCCCGGGCUUAACCUGGGAAUUGCGCUUGAAACUAGCGGGCUUGAGUGCGGCAGAGGGGGGUGGAAUUCCACGUGUAGCAGUGAAAUGCGUAGAGAUGUGGAGGAACACCGAUGGCGAAGGCAGCCCCCUGGGUCGACACUGACGCUCAUGCACGAAAGCGUGGGGAGCAAACAGGAUUAGAUACCCUGGUAGUCCACGCCCUAAACGAUGUCGACUAKGUGUUGGGGAAGGAGACUUCCUUAGUACCGCAGCUAACGCGUGAAGUCGACCGCCUGGGGAGUACGGUCGCAAGAUUAAAACUCAAAUGAAUUGACGG
rnacentral:rRNA from 1 species